rnacentral:rRNA from 1 species
GAUGAACGCUAGCUACAGGCUUAACACAUGCAAGUCGAGGGGUAACAAGAGAAAAGCUUGCUUUUCUUGUUGACGACCGGCGCACGGGUGAGUAACGCGUAUCCAACCUGCCUAUAACUAGGGAAUAACCUUGCGAAAGUAAGACUAAUACCCUAUGAUUUCCUUUGAUGACAUCAGAUUAGGAAUAAAGAUUUAUCGGUUAUAGAUGGGGAUGCGUCUGAUUAGCUUGUUGGCGGGGUAACGGCCCACCAAGGCAACGAUCAGUAGGGGUUCUGAGAGGAAGGUCCCCCACAUUGAAACGGAGACACGGUCCAAACUCCUACGGGAGGCAGCAGUGAGGAAUAUUGGUCAGUGGGCGGAAGCCUGAACCAGCCAAGUAGCGUGAAGGAUGACGGCCCUAUGGGUUGUAAACUGCUUUUAUACAGGAAUAAAGUUAGCCACGUGUGGUUAUUUGUAGGUACUGUAUGAAUAAGGACCGGCUAAUUCCGUGCCAGCAGCCGCCGUAA